rnacentral:rRNA from 1 species
ACAUGCAAGUCGAGCGGGCGAGGUUGCUUCGGUAACUGAGCUAGCGGCGGACGGGUGAGUAAUGCUUAGGAAUCUGCCUAUUAGUGGGGGACAACAUUCCGAAAGGAAUGCUAAUACCGCAUACGCCCUACGGGGGAAAGCAGGGGAUCUUCGGACCUUGCGCUAAUAGAUGAGCCUAAGUCAGAUUAGCUAGUUGGUGGGGUAAAGGCCUACCAAGGCGACGAUCUGUAGCGGGUCUGAGAGGAUGAUCCGCCACACUGGGACUGAGACACGGCCCAGACUCCUACGGGAGGCAGCAGUGGGGAAUAUUGGACAAUGGGCGCAAGCCUGAUCCAGCCAUGCCGCGUGUGUGAAGAAGGCCUUUUGGUUGUAAAGCACUUUAAGCGAGGAGGAGGCUGCUUGGAUUAAUACUCUAGGAUAGUGGACGUUACUCGCAGAAUAAGCACCGGCUAACUCUGUGCCAGCAGCCGCGGUAAUACAGAGGGUGCGAGCGUUAAUCGGAUUUACUGGGCGUAAAGCGUGCGUAGGCGGCUUUUUAAGUCGGAUGUGAAAUCCCUGAGCUUAACUUAGGAAUUGCAUUCGAUACUGGGAAGCUAGAGUAUGGGAGAGGAUGGUAGAAUUCCAGGUGUAGCGGUGAAAUGCGUAGAGAUCUGGAGGAAUACCGAUGGCGAAGGCAGCCAUCUGGCCUAAUACUGACGCUGAGGUACGAAAGCAUGGGGAGCAAACAGGAUUAGAUACCCUGGUAGUCCAUGCCGUAAACGAUGUCUACUAGCCGUUGGGGCCUUUGAGGCUUUAGUGGCGCAGCUAACGCGAUAAGUAGACCGCCUGGGGAGUACGGUCGCAAG